rnacentral:lncRNA from 1 species
UUUUUUUUUUUUUUUUUACAAAUUGAAGGUUUAUGGAAACCCUGGCUCCAAGCAAAUCUGUCAGCACUGUUUUUCCAACAGCAUUUGCUCACUGUGUGUCUCUGUCACAUUUUGGUAAUUCUUGCAAUAUUUCAGACUUUUUCAUUAUUAUUAUAUUUGUUCUGAGGAUCUUUGUUGGAUGACCUCUGAUGUUACUACUAUGAUUUGCUGAAGGUUCAAAUGGUGGUUAGCACUUUUUAGCAGUAUUUUAAAGUUAAUGUGUGUACCUUAUUUUUUAGACAAUGGUAUUGCACAUUUAAAAGAUGGCAGUAUAAACAUAACUUUUACAUGCACUGGAAAACAAACAAAAAAAAUCAUGUGACUAGCUUUAUUGCAGUGGUCUGGAACCGAACCCGCAAUCUCUCCAAAGUAUGCCUGUUAUUAAAUGAUUAGUAUACUGUAAUUUGUAUUGGUUAGUUAUUACAAUAUCAGAGAAAUCCUGUUAAUAAUGAAAGCUAGCCAAACAAGUUACAAUGGGGGAACUGGAAAUCCAGGAGACCACGUGGGUCAGUUUGACACCCCACCUCUCUGGAUUUCAGUUUGCCUAUUUGCCAAUCACCGCGGUUCUGUCCCUUUUAAAAGGGUCCCUUCCCUUUCUAAAGACGAAGUGAAAUUCGGGUGAAAAUGCAUACAGUGAGCGCUAGAGGGCAGUAGCUAGUUAAUAAGUAGAGCAAGGAAGACAAAUACAGACAAUGACAGAAACAGGCUUUUCUCCUCUUUCCUCCUUCUCUUCCCCUGGAACCACCCCCCGACCCCCACCCCCGGUUUACACUAAGCUCAUAAAGCUCAUUAAGAGGAAAGCUGGUCUAUUGAAAAUACUACUUUUCAUAUAUUUUCCAACUUAACAGCUUGACACAAAUCUCCAAGGGGUUUACAUAAGCUUUAAGUAGGUUGAAUAAAUAAAACCUUGACUCAAUUUAAUUUAACAAGUAUUUAUUGAAUAUCCAUAUGUAGGCCAGAAUCAGAUUAGUAACUAAGUGCCUUGGAAUUUUUAAAUUUCUCCUCUCUUUGUUAACAGAAUUGGAUAGUGGAAAUAAGGCUUUCUGUGGAUGUUUAUAAGCCCUUCUCCUGGGUCUUCUGUAGCUCUUCAUCCACUCUGCUGCCUGCAGUCUUUCCUUGUAAUGGAGAGCUUUGACUGGGAGCCCAGAUGAGAGACGCUGUGGGCCCAAACUCUGACCAUGACUGUGGAGUUGUAGAUGGAGGAGGACCACGGGUCUGAGAUGUCCUUCCCAGGAGAAAAGGGUAGUGCUUCUCACAACACUCCCUGCUUAUGACUCUGUCACCAUGGGGGUGAGAUGCUGUAUGAGGCAGUACGGGGAAGAAGCCUGCAUCUGCUUCCUUUUAUUUAUUUAUUAUUUUUAGGAUCGCACCCACGGCAUAUGGAGGUUCCCAGGCUAGGGGUCCAAUCAGAGCUACAGCUGCCGGCUUACACCACAGCCACAGCAAUGCCAGAUCUGAGCCACGUCUCCCACUGACGCCACAGCUCCUGGCAACGCCGGAUCCUUAACCCACUGAGCAAGGCCAGGGAUCCAACCUGCAACCUCAUGGUUCCUAGUCAGAUUUGUUUCCAGUAGGCCACAACAGGAACUCCUGCUUCCUUUUAAAUCCCUUUCGUCACAGUGAGGCCUACUCAGCCUUCUAGCCAAGGUGAACUGAAUUAUGAACCUCCUCCUUUGGUUUGUGGGAAGAGAAAAUGACAGCCUAGAACAGGUGAGGAAACUAGGAGGGUCUUCUGGCUCAAAAAUAGCCUCUCUCAGAGUUCCUCUCAUGGUUCAGUGGUAACGAACCUGACUAGUAUUCAUGAGGACGCAGGUUCAAUCCCUGGCCUCGCUCAGUGGGUUAAGGAUUCAGCAUUGCUGUUGCCAUGAGCUGUAUAGUAGGUAGCAGAUGCAGCUCAAAUCUGGCAUUGCUGUGGCUGUGGUGUAGGCUGGCCCCUAGUCUGGGAACUUCCAUAUGCUGUGGGUGCAGCCCUAAAAAGACAAAAGAAAAAAAAAAAGUAUCCUCUCUCUUGGAGUUCCUAUUUGCCACAGUGGCAUCUUGGGAGCGUGGAGAAGUAGGUUCCAUCCUUGCCCGGCACAGUGGGUUAAGGAUCUGACAUUGCUGCAAGCUGCAGCAUAGGUUGCAACUGUGGCUCAGAUGUGAUCCCUGGCCUGGCAACUCCAUAUGCUGCAGGGGGUGCUGAAAAAGAAAAAAAAGAAAUAUAUGUAUCCUCUCUACAUAUUUCACAAACAAGUUCCCCACCUGGGUUAAAAAGCUACUCAAAAAAAAAUAAUGACCCCAGACCCCAGGGGAUUCCUAUUGUGGCUCAAUGGGUUAAAAACCCAACAUUGUUUGUAAGGAUGUGGUUCCACCCUUGGCCUCGCUCAGUGGGUUAAGGAUCUGACGUUGCUGCAAGCUGCAGUGUAGGCCACAGAUGCGGCUUGGAUCCAGUGUUGCUGUGUAGGCCAGCAGCUGCAGCUCCGAUUCUACUCCUAACCUGGAAACUUCCAUAUGCUGCAGGUGCGACCAUAAAAAGAAAAAAAAAAAAAAAAGAAUGACCCCUGAAGGAUGAGGCCUAUGGUUCAUUCACUCUGGAUGAAUCCUGUUACAUUCUUAUUUUUCAAUUACCCCUGGCUUGAGUGAGGCAUCCUUGAAAAUUUUGGUUCCCAGACUGCAAGGGUAACUGUGGAUUCUCCAUGCAACAGCCAGCCCAGCUCUACUUUUGCCUCAUCUCUUAUAGAUUGGAAGUGCCAUAUUCUUUCCCAGCCCUUCUUGCAGUUAAGGAUGGGCCUGUGACCCAGUUCUAGAUGAAAGGAAACCUACUGUCCUUCUAGGAAAGAUUCUCCUCCUUGAUAAGUGAGAACUGCACAAGGAAGAAAGCCUUUAUUUCCCGUUUGGAAUCCUGGUCAUGUGAGGACUUGAUACUUCUUGGAGCUACUGCAGCCUUUCUGCCACCAUGAGGGGAGAAGUCACUGACAAGCCGAAGAUGGCAGAGUAAGAUAUGGGAAGAGUCUGGUCCUUGAUAAGUUGGUUAAGCAGCAUCAGCAACCCUAGAAC